GAUUGCUUAAUGGUUAAGUAUGACACAUGGACCAAUGGAAUGAUGACAUGUGUCAAAAUCUCAUCCAUUCAUUAUUUUGGCUUAAAAAUCAGCAUAAAAUCAGUCCAUUUCUCAUUCAUAUGUCUGGCCAAAGAAGAACAAAGGAAGAAAAGAAAGAACAAGAACCCUAGGGUGAAAAUUCUAGAGAAAAAUUGAUGGAUUUCAAGUAAUCAAGCAAUCAAAGGUAAAAUUUCUUGAUUUUGACUUAUGAUCUACCUUUUUCAUGCAUUAUUUUGCAUUUUCCAUGGUUGAAUCACAAGAUAUCAUGGCUAGCCGAAUGGGUAUGGAAAGAGAAUGAUGUUAAAUUGAUUUGAUUUCAAGUUAUGUUAGUGUUUUUAGUUAUUUUAUCAUGUCUAGAAGCAAAACAACAAGAAAAUAAUUCAUUUUCCCCAUCACCCAUCAAUGGCCGAACCUACCUUGUAUUGAGUGAGGAUGAAUUUGAUUUUUUAUUUUAAGAGAAUUGGUUAGAAAAUGAUGAAUUAUGGUGUGAAAAAUUAGUAGGAAAAAUCACGGUGUUAAUGUACCAUUAUUGAUCGAAAAUUUUAAGAAGAAAAGUGAAGAUGGUUUUGCCAAAUUUUAGGUUAUUUGACUUGUGUUUGGUGAAUUAAGGUAUUGGAAAAUAAAUGGAGCAAUUUGGAGCUAAAUUGGACGCGUUGGCCAAUUAAUCGGGUGAUAAGACGAAUUAGGUCAAUAUCAGGUUUAGAUGGUUACUCGUGCAUUUUGCAUUCCAUAUCAUACAUUAGUAGUCUAAAUUAGUUUAAUUUCGAUUUAGUACCAAUGUAGUAAGUUUCUCGAUUUUGUACUAUGUCAAGGUGGUGAGUCCUCUGAUAAAGGUAAGAAAAUUGCAUCCGAGGACCAGUAGUCAGAGUACUUCAAAAAUUCACACUCUAGACAUUGUGAGUAACCUUACUAUCAUCUUAAUUAUCUAAAGUGAUUUUUAUCCGAUUUUGUGAAUUUCAUGAAAAAUGAAUUAAAUGAUUAAUUUUUCAGUUUUAUAAACAAAAUGUGAUUUAAUGAAAAUAAUUUUAUAAAAUUGUCUUGAAAUUGAAUGAUGGUUUUGGAAAAUAGAGUAAUUGGAGAUCAAUUGCUGUGUUGUAAAUUAUGGUUUGAAUUGAAUGGCUUAUGAUAAUGUGGACAUGAGUGGCUGGAUUUGGUAAAUGUGCUGAAAAUGUAUGAACUGUUGUUUUGCCUUGACAUGCUGUGUUGUAAAAUAAUUGCCACGUCAUGCUGUUGGAAUUUUAUUGAUUUGGUGGAUAAUUAUUAGCUUACUGCAGUGGACGGGUUUCUGUGGACCAACCUAUUAGAGGGGCACGGUAAACCCCAUUAUAUCUUACCUCAGUAUGAGAGGCACGGAUGGAUAACUCCUGAGGUUAACACUUUAGAGUUCACUUCACGCUAAACCACCGCGUGAGGGUGAACUCAGCCAACGCCAAGGAACGACUAUGUUUUCAAAAUAAAAACAUAAUUUAUGCGUACAUGACUUUUUAACAGCCUUGGCGGACUCGGUUGGGAUAGCCCUCGAUCAAGGCAUCCAUGAUAACUGGGUAUGAGAAUGAUUUUGACACAAGCCAAAGCUUUUAAGAAAUUCAUAAGCCAUGUUGAUUACUCGAUUUAUAUGAAUUGAUUUUAUUUGGUUGAAACAAGUUGAAAGGUGAUGAAUUUCAAUAUGUUAAACUGUUUUAUCUGUCUUCAUUUACUCAGCUUUACAUAUUUUAGAUAGUAUUUGUUUACUCACUGGAAUUUUAUAAUCUCACCACCCUCCUUUCCACCCAUUUCAAACUCAGUAUAGGCUGUAGAUAGCUGAUAUCGUCGAAGGCCACAGUUGGCUUUACUUCCUCAAAAACUGUAAGUUUGCAACCUUCGUUCAUUUUUGUCAUUUGGGGGUCCACAUGUCAUUGUAAAUUAAAUUGCAUACUUCAGUUAUCUGUACUACUGUAUGUAGAAAUUUAUUUUGCUUUUACACUGUAAAUAAAAAUUAUUUACGCAGUGUUUUAAAAAUAUUGUUUUAUGAGAAAAUUGAGUAUUUUAUUCAAUAUUUUUAUUUUAUUCUAAUAGUCAUAAUUUCACUUUAAACGAAUGUUUUAGAUAUCCAAAUUUAUUUUUGAUUAUGAAAUAUGUGUUUUGCACCGUAUACUACAUUAUUAGUUAGUUUCGAAAUUUUUAGAGAAAAAUGACUAAAAUACCCCUGUGAGACAAAAAUUAUUUUUUAUUGUUUUAAGUUGGAAAUAGUUUAAAAUCUUUUAAAACGUGAUAUUUGGCAACGGUUACUCACAGAGAAAAUGAGAAACUGAUAUUAAAUCCUUGCGGGGUUCCGGUUGACAUUUCGAGUAAUGAGUGUUGAUCGAGACAUCGAGGGGGUUGUCACGGGCUCGAGGGGAGUUUCGGGUCGUAACAAUCAUCAUCCACCAACUCAAAUAAAUAUUUAUCUAAUUUCAAUUUAUGCUAUUCAAAGCCACUGUUUAACCGAUGCCUUUUAAAAGCAUCUAAUCUUUUCUUAGUAGUUAUUGGGUCCUUACCACUCGAAAUAAUAGCACUACCAUGCCCACCUUCACCACCGGUGACUUGUCUCAUUGACAUUUGAGACUGUUGACCACUUUCACAAACAAGAAAUUAAGGUUGGGAUUGCAACAUAUACUUAUAACAUUAAAACAACUCAUCCAUUGUUUUUCUCAAUAAAGAAAACAUCAACAGAGCUUGCUCAGGAAAAUACAUAUCUUGCAAAGUAAAUUCAACCUAAGCAAGCUUUUUCCUUAGAUCAAAAAUUGAGGCGAUGUACAACACUAAAUUCAUUUUUUCCACAUUCUCUCAAUACUUGUCAAAUGUAGUUUUCAU
rnacentral:lncRNA from 1 species